GCCUACGGGAGGCAGCAGUGGGGAAUAUUGGACAAUGGGCGAAAGCCUGAUCCAGCAAUGCCGCGUGAGUGAUGAAGGCCUUAGGGUUGUAAAGCUCUUUUACCCGGGAUGAUAAUGACAGUACCGGGAGAAUAAGCUCCGGCUAACUCCGUGCCAGCAGCCGCGGUC
rnacentral:rRNA from 1 species